UAAUUGUACAAAGGUAGCAUAAUCAAUUGGUUUUUAAAUGAAAUCUGGAAUGAAAGGAUUAAUGAAAUAUAUACUGUCUCAAAUAUAUUUUAUGAAUUUAAAAUUUUAAUAAAAAUGUUAAAAUUUAUUUAUGGGACGAUAAGACCCUAUAGAAUUUUAUAUUAAUUUAUUUUUGUAUUUAAUAUAAAAUUUAAAUUAAUAUUUGAUUGGGAGGAUUAUUAAAUUUAAUGAACUUUAAUAUUUGUAAACUUUAAUUAAAGAAAAAAUUUUGAUCUUGAAUUUUAAAUUAAUAGAAUAAAUUACCUUAGGGAUAACAGCGUAAUAUUUUUUUAUAGAUCUUAUAGAAAAAAGUGAUUGCGACUUCAGAUGUUUAAUUAAGAUCAAUUUUAU
rnacentral:rRNA from 1 species